rnacentral:misc_RNA from 1 species
CGGGUGCUGCUCUUCUCGUUACUCGGUUGCAUUCCAGUGGCCUUAAGCAAUUCCGAGGGGGCUGGCUCUGUUCAGGUCCUGGCCUGAUUACCUGGCGCCCACCUGUACAUACAGGUCCUCGGGAAUGAGAUAACCCCACGGUCGCUGCGGGCCCGCC